rnacentral:tRNA from 2 species
UGGAGGUGUCGCCUAGUCAGGUCUAUGGCGCCCGCCUGCUAAGCGGGUUUGGGAGGUAAUCCCAUCGCGGGUUCAAAUCCCGCCACCUCCGCGGA